ACAAAGCGAUGGUGAAGGAUGCACUUCUCCCUGGGGGGAACCGUGCUGCUGAUAUCGGGGUGUGCCACGUGUAGUGUCCCUCCCAAGGGAGGGGCCGAGCAGAGCAUUUCUACCUGGGAAGAGAGAAAAUACACUAUCUCUAAGGUCUCGAGAUGCACUAGAAGUUAAAGAUCGAGUGUUUUGCUCUGGCUUCAUCGCCUGGUCCUGUUCUCUUGAAGUGCUGAGAAGCACGAACUCUGAUGGGAGGUUCUCCACAUGAUGCAGGAGAUUUGUAAACCUGUCCUCCAGUGUGUACCUGGUACAAUGGUUGUGUUCUCAUCUGUAGGAGCCAGGCUACGUCUUGCCACAGACAGGACUGCUGACUAUAUUUUCUCACUACCCUGUGAGUCCAUUUUGAAAGCUCUGGCACAAAAGUGUUCUGUAACUUAAGCACCAAGUACAAGAAAUGUGUACAAAUUACCAGGUCAGCUGCCGAGGAACCUUCUGAAGGGCAUCUUGAAAUACUUGCUUUUAGAGCUCCAAACAAAGGGUCAUGGGAAAUGAGGGGAAAUACGUUCCGGUUGCCAUGGGAUUUGAUGUGUCCUGGGAACUGGGUAUAACCUUUACAGAGCCUGGUAGAGGAUUUCAAAGAGAAGUGCUACUUCUCCUGUAGUGCUCUGUGUGCCGUUCUUCACAUGAGAUCAUUUCUGAAGGCAAAAUGCUUGAAUGCAGUAUUUCUGUCAAGCUCAAUGUUGCCCCAAAUGCUGAAAGGUUGAUUUCCUUUAGGAAAAGUAAGCUAAAUGUGUAUCCCUGCUUCUUCCUUCUCUCUUCGAAACUGAUCACCAGCAUCACUUCAUGCAGCCUACGUGAACUUCUGCAAUAGUCAAACAUAUAUGUCUCUGAAUAAGGAUUUUCUCUUGAAUGGGGACCUUAGGCACUGCUGAUUUAUCACCUCAGUAUCCUAUGGAACAUGCUUGAUGACACACAGUGACAUCUGUUCAUACAGAGGAGAGAUUUCAUCACUGCAGAUCUUGGAGCUCCCAGUUGAUUUCUCAGCUUUCAGUGCACAAGUCUUUGAACUGAACUAGUUGAAUAGACUAAAACAUCUCCCUGUACUAAGACAAAAGACUCCUGUUGUCAAAAUAAGGUUCCCGUUUUAACAAACCAUGAAUCUAGAAGUCUGGACAGUGGGUUAUAUGGAUUUAAUGGUUUGAU